rnacentral:rRNA from 1 species
CUACGUGCCAGCAGCCGCGGUAAUACGGAAGGUCCAGGCGUUAUCCGGAUUUAUUGGGUUUAAAGGGAGCGUAGGCGGAUUGUUAAGUCAGCGGUUAAAGGGUGUGGCUCAACCAUGCAUUGCCGUUGAAACUGGCGAUCUUGAGUGCAGACAGGGAUGCCGGAAUUCGUGGUGUAGCGGUGAAAUGCUUAGAUAUCACGAAGAACUCCGAUCGCGAAGGCAGGUGUCCGGGCUGCAACUGACGCUGAGGCUCGAAAGUGUGGGUAUCAAACAGGAUUAGAUACCCUGGUAGUCCACGCCGUAAACGAUGAGUGCUAGGUGUUAGACCCUUUCCGGGGUUUAGUGCCGCAGCUAACGCAUUAAGCACUCCGCCUGGGGAGUACGACCGCAAGGUUGAAACUCAAAGGAAUUGACGGGGGCCCGCACAAGCGGUGGAGCAUGUGGUUUAAUUCGAUGCAACGCGAAGAACCUUACCUGGUCUUGACAU